rnacentral:rRNA from 1 species
UACAGAGGUCUCAAGCGUUGUUCGGAUUCAUUGGGCGUAAAGGGUGCGUAGGCGGCGCGGUAAGUCGGGUGUGAAAUCUUGGAGCUUAACUCCGAAAACUGCAUUCGAUACUGCCGUGCUUGAGGACUGGAGAGGAGACUGGAAUUUACGGUGUAGCGGUGAAAAUGCGUAGAUAUCGUAAGGAAGACCAGUGGCGAAGGCGGGUCUCUGGACAGUUCCUGACGUGAGGAACGAAAGCUAGGGGGAGCAAAACAGG